UACGGGGGGGGCAAGCGUUGUUCGGAAUUACUGGGCGUAAAGGGUUUGUAGGUGGCCUGCUAAGUCAGACGUGAAAUCCCUCAGCUUAACUGGGGAACUGCGUCUGAGACUGGUAGGCUCGAGGACAGGAGAGGAACGCGGAAUUCCAGGUGUAGCGGUGAAAUGCGUAGAUAUCAGGAAGAACACCCGUGGCGAAGGCGGCUCUCUGGGACGGUACUGACGCUGAGACGCGAAAGCGUGGGGAGCGAACAGG
rnacentral:rRNA from 1 species